ACGAACCGUGCGGACGUUGUUCGGAAUCACUGGGCUUAAAGGGCGCGUAGGCGGCCGGGUUGGUCGUGGGUGAAAUCCCCCAGCUUAACUGGGGAACUGCCUACGAUACUGCCUGGCUCGAGGGAGGAAGGGGCGGUCGGAACUGUCGGUGGAGCGGUGAAAUGCGUUGAUAUCGACAGGAACGCCGGUGGCGAAAGCGGACCGCUGGCCCUCUUCUGACGCUGAGGCGCGAAAGCCAGGGGAGCGAACGGGA
rnacentral:rRNA from 1 species